rnacentral:rRNA from 1 species
UGCAAGUCGAACGGUAACAGCACUUCGGUGGCUGACGAGUGGCGAACGGGUGAGUAAUACAUCGGAACGUGCCCGAGAGUGGGGGAUAACGCAGCGAAAGCUGUGCUAAUACCGCAUACGAUCUACGGAUGAAAGCAGGGGACCGCAAGGCCUUGCGCUCAUGGAGCGGCCGAUGGCAGAUUAGGUAGUUGGUGGGAUAAAAGCUUACCAAGCCGACGAUCUGUAGCUGGUCUGAGAGGACGACCAGCCACACUGGGACUGAGACACGGCCCAGACUCCUACGGGAGGCAGCAGUGGGGAAUUUUGGACAAUGGGCGAAAGCCUGAUCCAGCCAUGCCGCGUGCAGGAUGAAGGCCUUCGGGUUGUAAACUGCUUUUGUACGGAACGAAAAGGUCUUUUCUAAUAAAGAAGGCUCAUGACGGUACCGUAAGAAUAAGCACCGGCUAACUACGUGCCAGCAGCCGCGGUAAUACGUAGGGUGCAAGCGUUAAUCGGAAUUACUGGGCGUAAAGCGUGCGC